UUUUUUCCCUUCUUUUA
rnacentral:sRNA from 1 species